AGAGACGAAACGGGCAGACGAUGGAUGCCUCACGGCGCGAGCGGGCCGAGGAAGGACGCGGCAGGCGGCGAAACGCGCCGGGGAGCAGCGCGCAUGCGGUGAUCCGGCGGUCUCCGAAUGGGGC
rnacentral:rRNA from 1 species